AGAUUAAGUUAUUAAGGGCGCACGGUGGAUGCCUUGGCACUAGAAGCCGAUGAAGGACGUUACUAACAACGAUAUGCUUUGGGGAGCUGUAAGUAAGCUUUGAUCCAGAGAUUUCCGAAUGGGGAAACCCAGCAUGAGUUAUGUCAUGUUAUCGAUAUGUGAAUACAUAGCAUAUCAGAAGGCACACCCGGAGAACUGAAACAUCUUAGUACCCGGAGGAAGAGAAAGAAAAUUCGAUUCCCUUAGUAGCGGCGAGCGAAACGGGAAGAGCCCAAACCAACAAGCUUGCUUGUUGGGGUUGUAGGACACUCUAUACGGAGUUACAAAGGACGACAUUAGACGAAUCAUCUGGAAAGAUGAAUCAAAGAAGGUAAUAAUCCUGUAGUCGAAAAUGUUGUCUCUCUUGAGUGGAUCCUGAGUACGACGGAGCACGUGAAAUUCCGUCGGAAUCUGGGAGGACCAUCUCCUAAGGCUAAAUACUCUCUAGUGACCGAUAGUGAACCAGUACCGUGAGGGAAAGGUGAAAAGCACCCCGGAAGGGGAGUGAAAUAGAACCUGAAACCGUGUGCUUACAAGUAGUCAGAGCCCGUUAAUGGGUGAUGGCGUGCCUUUUGUAGAAUGAACCGGCGAGUUACGAUUUGAUGCAAGGUUAAGCAGUAAAUGUGGAGCCGUAGCGAAAGCGAGUCUGAAUAGGGCGUUUAGUAUUUGGUCGUAGACCCGAAACCAGGUGAUCUACCCUUGGUCAGGUUGAAGUUCAGGUAACACUGAAUGGAGGACCGAACCGACUUACGUUGAAAAGUGAGCGGAUGAACUGAGGGUAGCGGAGAAAUUCCAAUCGAACCUGGAGAUAGCUGGUUCUCUCCGAAAUAGCUUUAGGGCUAGCCUCAAGUGAUGAUUAUUGGAGGUAGAGCACUGUUUGGACGAGGGGCCCCUCUCGGGUUACCGAAUUCAGACAAACUCCGAAUGCCAAUUAAUUUAACUUGGGAGUCAGAACAUGGGUGAUAAGGUCCAUGUUCGAAAGGGAAACAGCCCAGACCACCAGCUAAGGUCCCAAAAUAUAUGUUAAGUGGAAAAGGAUGUGGCGUUGCCCAGACAACUAGGAUGUUGGCUUAGAAGCAGCCAUCAUUUAAAGAGUGCGUAAUAGCUCACUAGUCGAGUGACACUGCGCCGAAAAUGUACCGGGGCUAAACAUAUUACCGAAGCUGUGGAUUGUCCUUUGGACAAUGGUAGGAGAGCGUUCUAAGGGCGUUGAAGCAUGAUCG
rnacentral:rRNA from 1 species